GGAACAGUCACAUGGUUGGGCGGAGCAAUUGUAAUGAUGGCCAGGUUUCGCUUAUCAAAUUAGUGGGUCUAUAAAAGGAGCAGUCGGUGGCUGGUAGGAGUGCGCAGCUGGGAGAGGUUCGUGUGUGUGGAUUAAGGAAUCCAGCCAUUAUCAGGUUAAAAUCAUCCCACUUCCUUGUUUAGAGUUUUGCAGCACAUCGCGACCUGGUUGAACCGGAAGUGAGGAACUGAGAGCCAUUGUCGUAUGAGUGCACGUGUGUUUGCUGUGGAUAGGAGAUCAUUAGAGUAAGGUCCCCAGCCCUGGAGUUCAAGCAUUCUUGUGUGGUAUAAUAUGUAUGGUGUUAUGUAAUUUUAAAGGUUCUUAAUAAACUGUGUGUAUUAUACCUCUGUCUCAGCUGUAGACGAA